rnacentral:sRNA from 1 species
UAAUUAUUGACCCGCAUGAAUGGAUU